rnacentral:rRNA from 1 species
GCUCAACCGGGGAGGGUCAUUGGAAACUGGGGAACUUGAGUGCAGAAGAGGAGAGUGGAAUUCCACGUGUAGCGGUGAAAUGCGUAGAGAUGUGGAGGAGCACCAGUGGCGAAGGCGACUCUCUGGUCUGUAACUGACGCUGAGGCGCGAAAGCGUGGGGAGCGAACAGGAUUAGAUACCCUGGUAGUCCACGCCGUAAACGAUGAGUGCUAAGUGUUAGAGGGUUUCCGCCCUUUAGUGCUGCAGCAAACGCAUUAAGCACUCCGCCUGGGGAGUACGGUCGCAAGACUGAAACUCAAAGGAAUUGACGGGGGCCCGCACAAGCGGUGGAGCAUGUGGUUUAAUUCGAAGCAACGCGAAGAACCUUACCAGGUCUUGACAUCCUCUGGCAACCCUAGAGAUAGGGCUUCCCCUUCGGGGGCAGAGUGACAGGUGGUGCAUGGUUGUCGUCAGCUCGUGUCGUGAGAUGUUGGGUUAAGUCCCGCAACGAGCGCAACCCUUGAUCUUAGUUGCCAGCAUUCAGUUGGGCACUCUAAGGUGACUGCCGGUGACAAACCGGAGGAGGGUGGGGAUGACGUCAAAUCAUCAUGCCCCUUAUGACCUGGGCUACACACGUGCUACAAUGGGCAGAACAAAG